UUUUUUAAUGAAUUGUUUAUUACCGUUUGCCUAUGACUCCUUAAUUAAAGGGGAGUCACUAUGCUUGUGUGAUUAUGAUUGAUAUCAGUUCCUUAAAUAUGAACUGAUACCUUAUUUGUUUACUCAUUUUAAUACUAUAAAUACUCCUCACUUUCCUCUUUUGAAAACAACAACACACACGAGUCACAACCAAAACUCUCUGAACUCUCGUUUUCUCUGCUAUUGCUAUACUCUCUCGUUCCCUUCUUUGAACACUCAAUCGGCUAACAGCCAAGAUUGAGUAAUUUGAUUGGUUACUUUGCACUGCUG
rnacentral:lncRNA from 1 species